AAGGGACAAGCUGGGUCGACCGUGUGAUAUGUGCUGCAACUACGAGGCCCAGCUACAGGGAUUACAGGUGGAGCAGCGGCAAAACCAGGACCAGGUGCGCAUGCUGCAGAAGCAGCUGGAGCGAUAUAAGAUGGACCUGGAGAGAGAGAACAAGAGUCGGGGCGAGCUGGAAGCUAGCUUACAGAACGCUGCCGGCGACGCACAAA